UACGUAGGGUGCAAGCGUUGUCCGGAAUUAUUGGGCGUAAAGAGCUCGUAGGCGGCUUGUCGCGUCGGAUGUGAAAGCCCGGGGCUUAACCCCGGGUCUGCAUUCGAUACGGGCAGGCUAGAGUGUGGUAGGGGAGAUCGGAAUUCCUGGUGUAGCGGUGAAAUGCGCAGAUAUCAGGAGGAACACCGGUGGCGAAGGCGGAUCUCUGGGCCAUUACUGACGCUGAGGAGCGAAAGCGUGGGGAGCGAACAGG
rnacentral:rRNA from 1 species